AACGAACGCUGGCGGCAUGCCUAACACAUGCAAGUCGAACGAGAUCCUUCGGGGUCUAGUGGCGCACGGGUGCGUAACGCGUGGGAAUCUGCCCUUAGGUUCGGAAUAACAGUUAGAAAUGACUGCUAAUACCGGAUGAUGACGUUAAGUCCAAAGAUUUAUCGCCUGAGGAUGAGCCCGCGUAGGAUUAGCUAGUUGGUGUGGUAAAGGCGCACCAAGGCGACGAUCCUUAGCUGGUCUGAGAGGAUGAUCAGCCACACUGGGACUGAGACACGGCCCAGACUCCUACGGGAGGCAGCAGUGGGGAAUAUUGUACGAUGGGCGCAAGCCUGAUCCAGCCAUGCCGCGUGAGUGAUGAAGGCCUUAGGGUUGUAAAGCUCUUUUACCCGGGAUGAUAAUGACAGUACCGGGAGAAUAAGCCCCGGCUAACUCCGUG
rnacentral:rRNA from 1 species